AGAGUUUGAUCCUGGCUCAGGGUGAACGCUGGCGGCGUGCCUAACACAUGCAAGUCGAGCGGGGAGGCCCCGAAAGGGGUAGUACCAGCGGCGGACGGGUGAGUAACGCGUGGCUUACCUAUCCUCUGGUGGGGGAUAACUGGGGGAAACUCCAGCUAAUACCGCGUAAGCUCUCCUUAGGGAGAGGAAAGCCGUGAGGCGCCAGGGGAGGGGGCCGCGUCCUAUCAGGUGGUUGGUGGGGUAAAGGCCCACCAAGCCUACGACGGGUAGCCGGCGUGAGAGCGUGGCCGGCCACACCGGGACUGAGACACGGCCCGGACUCCUACGGGAGGCAGCAGUGGGGAAUCUUGGACAAUGGGGGAAACCCUGAUCCAGCGACGCCGCGUGCGGGAAGAAGUCCUUCGGGACGUAAACCGCUGUUGUAGGGGAAGAAUAAGGGGAGGGAGACUCCCCGAUGACGGUACCCUACCAGAAAGCCCCGGCUAACUACGUGCCAGCAGCCGCGGUAAUACGUAGGGGGCGAGCGUUACCCGGAAUUACUGGGCGUAAAGGGGGCGUAGGCGGCCCAGCAAGUCAAGUGUGAAAUCCAGCGGCUCAACCGCUGGGCUGCGCUUGAAACUGCUGGGCUUGAGUGCAGCAGAGGGAGACGGAAUUGCCGGUGUAGGGGUGAAAUCCGUAGAUAUCGGCAAGAACGCCGGUGGGGAAGCCGGUCUCCUGGGCUGUGACUGACGCUGAGGCCCGAAAGCUGGGGGAGCGAACCGGAUUAGAUACCCGGGUAGUCCCAGCCGUAAACGAUGCUCACUAGGUGUGGGGGAGAUAAAUCCUCCGUGCUGAAGCUAACGCGAUAAGUGAGCCGCCUGGGGAGUAUGCCCGCAAGGGUGAAACUCAAAGGAAUUGACGGGGGCCCGCACAAGCGGUGGAGCGCGUGGUUUAAUUGGAUGCUGAGCCAGGA
rnacentral:rRNA from 1 species